CGCACUCGACCUUCGGGUCACAUGAGUGAGUGGCGAACGGGUGAGUAACACGUGAGAAACCUGUCCCGAAGACUGGAAUAACCCGAGGAAACUCGGGCUAAUACCGGAUGCCCCCACCGGAUCACAUGAUCUGGUGAGGAAAUGCUCCGGCGCUUCGGGAGGGUCUCGCGGCCUAUCAGUUAGUUGGUGAGGUAACGGCUCACCAAGGCAUCGACGGGUAGCUGGUCUGAGAGGACGAUCAGCCACACUGGGACUGAGACACGGCCCAGACUCCUACGGGAGGCAGCAGUGGGGAAUCUUGCGCAAUGGGCGAAAGCCUGACGCAGCCACGCCGCGUGAGGGAUGAAGGCUUUCGGGUUGUAAACCUCUUUCAGCAGGGACGAAAAUGACGGUACCUGCAGAAGAAGCUCCGGCCAACUACGUGCCAGCAGCCGCGGUAACACGUAGGGAGCAAGCGUUGUCCGGAUUUAUUGGGCGUAAAGAGCUCGUAGGCGGUUCGGUAAGUCGGGUGUGAAAACUUGAGGCUCAACCUCAAGAGGCCACUCGAUACUGCUGUGACUGGAGUCCGGUAGAGGAGUGUGGAAUUCCUGGUGUAGCGGUGAAAUGCGCAGAUAUCAGGAGGAACACCGACAGCGAAGGCAGCACUCUGGGCCGGUACUGACGCUGAGGAGCGAAAGCAUGGGGAGCGAACAGGAUUAGAUACCCUGGUAGUCCAUGCCGUAAACGUUGGGCACUAGGUGUGGGGUCUAGCUAACAGAUUCCGUGCCGCAGCUAACGCAUUAAGUGCCCCGCCUGGGGAGUA
rnacentral:rRNA from 1 species